rnacentral:rRNA from 1 species
GAGCUUGCUCCUUCUGAUCAGUGGCGAACGGGUGAGUAACACGUGAGCAAUCUGCCCUUGACUCUGGGAUAACUGCGGGAAACUGUAGCUAAUACCGGAUACGACCCUCGGAGGCAUCUCCUGGGGGUGGAAAGAAUUUUGGUCAAGGAUGAGCUCGCGGCCUAUCAGCUAGUUGGUGAGGUAAUGGCUCACCAAGGCGACGACGGGUAGCCGGCCUGAGAGGGUGACCGGCCACACUGGGACUGAGACACGGCCCAGACUCCUACGGGAGGCAGCAGUGGGGAAUAUUGCACAAUGGGCGAAAGCCUGAUGCAGCAACGCCGCGUGAGGGACGAAGGCCUUCGGGUUGUAAACCUCUUUUAGUAGGGAAGAAGCGAAAGUGACGGUACCUGCA